CUACGGGCGGCAGCAGUGAGGAAUAUUGCACAAUGGGGGGAACCCUGAUGCAGCAACGCCGCGUGGAGGAUGACGCAUUUCGGUGUGUAAACUCCUUUUAUCAGAGAAGAAAAUGACGGUAUCUGAUGAAUAAGCUCCGGCUAACUCCGUGCCAGCAGCCGCGGUAAUACGGAGGGAGCAAGCGUUAUUCGGAAUCACUGGGCGUAAAGGACGCGUAGGCGGGUUUUUAAGUCAGGUGUGAAAUCCUAUGGCUCAACCAUAGAACUGCACUUGAAACUGGGGACCUAGAGUAUGGAAGGGGCAGGUGGAAUUAGUGGUGUAGGGGUAAAAUCCGUAGAUAUCACUAGGAAUACCGAAAGCGAAGGCGACCUGCUGGGACAUUACUGACGCUGAGGCGUGAAAGCGUGGGGAGCAAACAGGAUUAGAUACCCGGGUAGUC
rnacentral:rRNA from 1 species